AGGUUGCCGGACGGCCGCAGGCGCCUUGUGCGCAUGAGGAAAGUCCGAGCUCCGCAGGGCAGGGUGCCGGGUAACCCCCGGUGGAGGCGACUCCAAGGAAAGUGCAACAGAGAUAUACCGCGGCCCCGCGAGGGGACGUAAGGGUGGAAAGGUGAGGUAAGAGCUCACCAGCGGCCUGGCGACUCGUCCGCUCUGUAAACCCCACCUGGUGCAAGAUUAAAAGGGGAGCGCAUAUGGCGGCCCGUCAUGCUCCCGGGUAAUCGCUUGAGCCCACUGGCAACAGUGGGCCUAGACAGAUGGCCGUUCAAGACAGAACUCGGCUUAUAGACA
rnacentral:RNase_P_RNA from 1 species